AUGUCGCCUCCGCUCGAUUCGCCGGAAGACCGCCCAGUGUCGCCUCCGCCGACUUCGCCAGAAGACAAUCCGUCGUCCGCGAAGAUUCAAAGUUCUGUUUCUUUGUUGCCUUCCAUGCAUCGCUUCAUGGUUUUGAGCAUGGAUGCAGGUCACUCCUUUUCCUUGAUGCAGUAUCUCCAAAACCGAAUUAAGAAGUGGAAGUUACUGACUGCUACUUCAGUUGACGGAGAAGGCGAUGUGUUCGCAGUUGUAUUCACUGUAGUGCACGACAAGAACCGUGAAAAUUGGCACUGGUUUCUUCAGCAACUAAAAUCUUCACGAUGCAAUUGGACGAUUCGUGGGCUGAAGAAGUAA
rnacentral:rRNA from 1 species